rnacentral:lncRNA from 1 species
AAUGGUGGAAGAUCAUUGGACUUAAUAUUUAUAAAAAAUUUUGGGUCUAGGUCUCAUCUAAUCAGUCAUCACAUGACUGAUCUAAUUGGCAUGGGCUAAAUCAACCUGUCAAGCAACUAUAUUGAGACUCAAUCUUCCAAAUUGGCCAGAUAAGUGGAGAUCGGUGGGGGUCUCCCUAUUGCUUUCCUUAGACAUCAAUAAAUUGGCU